rnacentral:rRNA from 1 species
GAUGAACGCUGGCGGCGUGCCUAAUACAUGCAAGUCGAGCGAACAGACGAGGAGCUUGCUCCUCUGACGUUAGCGGCGGACGGGUGAGUAACACGUGGAUAACCCACCUAUAAGACUGGGAUAACUUCGGGAAACCGGAGCUAAUACCGGAUAAUAUAUUGAACCGCAUGGUUCAAUAGUGAAAGACGGUUUUGCUGUCACUUAUAGAUGGAUCCGCGCCGCAUUAGCUAGUUGGUAAGGUAACGGCUACCAAGGCAACGAUGCGUAGCCGACCUGAGAGGGUGAUCGGCCACACUGGAACUGAGACACGGUCCAGACUCCUACGGGAGGCAGCAGUAGGGAAUCUUCCGCAAUGGGCGAAAGCCUGACGGAGCAACGCCGCGUGAGUGAUGAAGGUCUUCGGAUCGUAAAACUCUGUUAUUAGGGAAGAACAAAUGUGUAAGUAACUAUGCACGUCUUGACGGUACCUAAUCAGAAAGCCACGGCUAACUACGUG